ACGGAAGGCAGCAGUGAGGAAUCUUGGUCAAUGGGCGAGAGCCUGAACCAGCCAAGUAGCGUGGAGGAAGCAGGUCCUAUGGGUUGUAAACUCCUUUUGUGCGGGGGUAAAGUUCGCCACGUGUGGCGUUUUGCAAGUACCGUACGAAUAAGCAUCGGCUAACUCCGUGCCAGCAGCCGCGGUAAUACGGAGGAUGCGAGCGUUAUCCGGAUUUAUUGGGUUUAAAGGGAGCGUAGGCUGGAUGUUAAGCCAGCGGUCAAAAGGAGCGGCUCAACCGUUCUUCGCCGUUGAUACUGGUAUCCUUGAGUGCGCUAGAGGUGGAUGGAAGUUAGGGUGUAGCGGUGAAAUGCUUAGAAAUCCUAAAGAACGCCGAUUGCAAAGGCAGUCCACUGGGGCGCGACUGACGCUGAAGCUCGAAAGUGCGGGUAUCAAACAGGAUUAGAUACCCUGGUA
rnacentral:rRNA from 1 species